UACGUAGGUGGCAAGCGUUGUCCGGAUUUAUUGGGCGUAAAGAGCUCGUAGGCGGUUUGUCGCGUCUGCUGUGAAAACUCGGGGCUUAACCCCGGGCCUGCAGUGGGUACGGGCAGACUAGAGUGCGGUAGGGGAGACUGGAAUUCCUGGUGUAGCGGUGAAAUGCGCAGAUAUCAGGAGGAACACCGGUGGCGAAGGCGGGUCUCUGGGCCGUAACUGACGCUGAGGAGCGAAAGCGUGGGGAGCGAACAGG
rnacentral:rRNA from 1 species